GAUUUCUGGUGUCGCGCUCCUGACCCGCCACGGUUACGUGUGUGAGUGUCGGGAUGUGCACGCCAUCCUUCUAGGCAGCUCGCCUGCUCUUCACUGAGUGGGUGAGUGGCCUAGAUCUUUUACUUUGAAAAAAUUAGAGUGUUUAAAGCAGGCGUUAGCUAUGAAUACAUUAGCAUGGAAUAAUAAUCUAGGACUUGGGUUCUAUUUUGUUGGUUUCUAGGACCGAAGUAAUGAUUGAUAGGGAUAGUUGGGGGUGCUAGUAUUCAGCGGCCAGAGGUGAAAUUCUCGGAUUCGCUGAAGACUAACUACUGCGAAAGCAUU
rnacentral:rRNA from 1 species